rnacentral:rRNA from 1 species
ACGAACGCUGGCGGCGUGCUUCACCCAUGCAGGUCGCACGGAAAGGCCCUGCUUUUGUGGGGUGCUCGAGUGGCGAACGGGUGAGUAACACGUGAGUAACCUGCCCUUGACUUUGGGAUAACUUCAGGAAACUGGGGCUAAUACCGGAUAGGAGCUCCUGCUGCAUGGUGGGGGUUGGAAAGUUUCGGCGGUUGGGGAUGGACUCGCGGCUUAUCAGCUUGUUGGUGGGGUAGUGGCUUACCAAGGCUUUGACGGGUAGCCGGCCUGAGAGGGUGACCGGCCACAUUGGGACUGAGAUACGGCCCAGACUCCUACGGGAGGCAGCAGUGGGGAAUAUUGCACAAUGGGCGGAAGCCUGAUGCAGCAACGCCGCGUGCGGGAUGACGGCCUUCGGGUUGUAAACCGCUUUCGCCUGUGACGAAGCGUGAGUGACGGUAAUGGGUAAAGAAGCACCGGCUAACUACGUG